GAUGAAGAACGCAGCAAAAUGCGAUAAGUAAUGCGAAUUGCAGAAUUUCCGUGAGUCAUCGAAUCUUUGAACGCACAUUGCGCCCUCUGGUAUUCCGGGGGGCAUGCCUGUCCGAGCGUCAUUUGCAACCCUCAAGCCCGGCUUGUGUGAUGGGUGCCGUCCCCUACGGGACGCGCCCCGAAGGCAAUGGCGGCGUCGCGGUUAUCCGAUCAGCCAAAGUGUAUGGGGCUUUGUCACUCACUUUACGGCCCGGACCGGCGCCAGUCCGAAUCAAUCUUUUUUCUAAAGUUGACCUCGGAUCAGGUAGGGAUACCCGCUGAACUUAAGCAUAUCAAUAAGCGGAGGA
rnacentral:misc_RNA from 1 species